UACAGAGGGUGCAAGCGUUGUUCGGAAUUAUUGGGCGUAAAGGGCGCGUAGGCGGCUUGGCAAGUGGAUGGUGAAAUCCCUCGGCUUAACCGAGGAACUGCCGUCCAAACUGCUUCGCUUGAGACCGGGAGAGGUGAGUGGAAUUCCCAGUGUAGCGGUGAAAUGCGUAGAUAUUGGGAGGAACACCAGUGGCGAAGGCGGCUCACUGGACCGGUACUGACGCUGAUGCGCGAAAGCGUGGGGAGCGAACAGG
rnacentral:rRNA from 1 species